rnacentral:rRNA from 1 species
GAGACUCUGUGCGCGUGCAUAUCAAUAAGCGGAGGAAAAGAAACUAACAAGGAUUCCCUUAGUAACGGCGAGUGAAGCGGGAAGAGCUCAAAUUUGAAAUCUUCAAGGCUUUACCUUGACGAAUUGUAGUUUAAAGAAGUGUUUUCUGUUGAAGUUUUGGUAAAAGUUCUUUGGAAUAGGACAUCAUAGAGGGUGAGAAUCCCGUAUUUGACCAUUAUUUUCAGCUGUGUGAUACACUUUCAAAGGGUCGGAUUGUUUGGGAAUGCAGUCCAAAAUGGGUGGUAAAUUUCAUCUAAAGCUAAAUAUUGGCGAGAGACCGAUAGCGAACAAGUACCGUGAGGGAAAGAUGAAAAGAACUUUGAAAAGAGAGUUAAACAGUACGUGAAAUUGUCAAAAGGGAAGCGUUUGACACCAGUGUUGUUUUCUCGAAAAUCAAUUAAAAAAGGCCGGAUUUUGUGUUGUAUUGACCUUAAAAGCUUUCUUCACUCUUUUCUUGUCUUUUUUAAUGCACUUUUCGUUUAACAAGUCAACAUCAGUUUCUUUUGUUGUAAAAGGGUCAUUGGAAGGUGGCUUUCUUUUCGGAGAAAGUGUUUAUAGCCUUUGAUCUCUGCAACCGGAGAGACUGAGGUCUGCAGCGUAGACUCUUCGGGGUUAGAUACAUUUGUGCUAAGCUAUAGCUUUUUAUAGACAACUUGUUGACUAUAUUUAGUCUUGUGGCUUACUCGCUUAUGCUAUUUUACCUACGCUUAGGAUGUUGACAGCAGUAUAGACUGU